rnacentral:RNase_P_RNA from 1 species
ACCGCAGACCGCCUUAUCGUCGUUUUGCUCCCGAUAGCUAUCGGGACAAGAGGGAGGAAAGUCCGGACACCAAAGAGAAGCAUAGCGGGUAACACCCGUCGGUUCCGAUUUAUCGGGAUUAGGACAAGUGCAACAGAAAGUAUGUACAGGUAAUGCUGUAGUGAAACCAGGUAAACUCUAUGCGGUGAAAUAUCAAGUAUAUCAGCAUUUAAGGGCUUCUCGCUCGUUGCUGAAGGGUAGAUAGCUUGAGUCUUGCAGUAAUGCAAGAUCUAGAUAAAUGAUAAGGUAUCGUUAGUGAUAACGAGAACAGAAUCCGGCUUACAGGUCUGCAUUUUUU